CAAGGCUUGACAUGUUCUCGAUCGCCGUAGAGAUACGGUUUCCCCUUUGGGGCGGGUUCACAGGUGGUGCAUGGUUGUCGUCAGCUCGUGUCGUGAGAUGUUGGGUUAAGUCCCGCAACGAGCGCAACCCUCGUUCCAUGUUGCCAGCACGUAAUGUGGGGACUCAUGGGAGACUGCCGGGGUCAACUCGGAGGAAGGUGAGGACGACGUCAAAUCAUCAUGCCCCUUAUGUCUUGGGCUUCACGCAUGCUACAAUGGCCGGUACAAUGGGUUGCGAUACUGUGAGGUGGAGCUAAUCCCAAAAAGCCGGUCUCAGUUCGGAUUGGGGCCUGCGACUCGACCCCAUGAAGUCGGAGUCGCUAGUAAUCGCAGAUCAGC
rnacentral:rRNA from 1 species